ACGCGGCAGCUAGGAGGGGUUUUCUGGGUGUAGAUUGGAAGAUACAGACCGCAGACCGUAAUAUGUAAUGACACUUCUCACUUUAAAAAGGGAUGUUAUUUCCCAAAUGAGCGCUUAAAAUUUUUUAAAUGGCCCCAUAACUACCGGAGCCCGGGCGCCGGGUUCACGCGAGCCCGCAGGAACACCGCCAAGGCGGACGCUCAGCUCACCUUCCCGCCCGGCGAGUCAGAAGGCCCGGGAUUCUGUGUGUGACCGCAUCUUCCGGUUCCCGCCGGAAGUUUUUCAAACGCCGGAAGUCCCGCCUCGCUUCCUCCUGACUCGCGGCAGCAGCUCAGACUGCAGGAGCGGGAUGGAGCCAAGCUGGACGGAGGCGGGGCUAAGGCGACGAUCCUUCGGGAGCUCUGAGGCGGGGCCCUACCCGGGGUGUGGCGGGACUGGAAACCAGCACUCUCUCCCCGGAUACUGCCAGAAGCGGAGCCCGCGAGAACGAGCAGGAGAGGGGCAGAAGACUGAGACUUGGGAGGAAACCAAGAGUUGGAUGCUUACCCGACUGAGCCACCCAGAUAUUUCCCUCCUCACUCAUCUAGAUGCUGCUAGAUGGUUCUUCUGGAAGUCAAAGUCUAACAAAAACAGAACAUCUGAUAUAUGUAUGCCUUGCCUUAUGGGACAGAUUCAUCAGUAGAACUGUCAAGGAAGCAAUGAGGGAAAUAGCUAUAUUGAACUUAAUUUUAACCAGCAAAUAUCUAGUUGAUGAUUUACAAGUGACAAAAAUCCUGGGAAAAAGGAGUGAUGUCUGCUGGAGUUAGUAGCUGGCCAGGCACAGUGCUGGACUCUGGAUGAAGAGUGAUGCAUGCAGGCACAGCCCUUCCUUCACAGUGCUCGUCUGUCAUUACUAGGAACAAACACAAAACUGUGCAAAUCUGAAUGAAGCAGUGGUGUCGACUCAUGUCCAGGUGACUUUUUUAUUUUUAUUUUUUAUUUUUUUAAUUUUUUACUUUAGAAAGGAAGAGAGAGUGUGUGAGCAGGGGAGAGGAGCAGAGGGAGGGAGGGAAAGAGAGAGAGAAUCUCAAGCAGGCUGCACGCUCAGUGCGGUUCCCAAUGCAGAGUCCCAUGACCCUGGGAUCAUGACCUGAGCCGAAAUUAAGAGUCAGAUGCUCAGCUGACUAAGCCACCCAGGCGCCCCUCCAAUUGCAUUUUUUAAAUUUGAAUUUAUGAUUCUAACAUUUUAUUUGUCAACAUAGUUAUGGGAUUCAAAAUGCAAAACAUAUGAAAAGGAAUGUAAUAGAAAUUAUCACCUCUGUUCCCCAAACACUUAAUACCCAUCCCUAUGAGCAACCUGUGUCACUGAUUUCUUGCAAAUCCUCCUAGGGAAAAUUUUUUGCGUAUGCAAUCAAUUGAAAUAAUAUAUUUUAUCAAACCUAGGAUGCCAUUAAUUGCAUAUAAGAUGCAAAUAUUGUUUAUAUAUACUGUAUAUACUAUUUAUUAUAUAUACUAUAAAUAUGGUAUAUUAUUUUAAUACUACAAAAGAUUUUUUAAAGCCCUGCCAAUUAAACUAUGUUUUGGUGUCGAUUGUACAAUGAAUUCUAAUUUCAAAGACAUCAAAAAUGUGAAAACCUGUGCAUUUUAGAACCAAUGAAAUAUGGUCUAUAUAUUUUUUAAAAUUUUACACAAAAGAUAGUAGCCUACAUUUAUUAUUUGUACCAUGCUUGCUUCACUUAACAAUAUUUCCUGGAGCUUAUUUCGUAUCAAUAUCUGAGGCAUUUUAUUCUCGUUUUUAAUGUGGGAGCACUGUGAAAAGUAGUCUUUAAUGAGUAUGCCCUAUGUCAGAAAGUGAAAAGGGAAAGAACAGGACACUCUUUGGAAAAGAUCACGAAUAAGCUGCAGAGGACUGGAGAAGAAAACCCAGUGAUGCUUAUUGUGUUUCUUCUCCAUGGAUAAAGAUAUUCAAAUCGGAAAGUGUAGAACAAAUAUCAUGAAGAAAGACUUAAGUUUGCCAUAAAAGAAAAAAAAAACUCAAAGAUGAUAUUGAGUCCUUUUACAGAAGUUAAAGUCUCUGAGUGUGCAGAAAGACAAAUCACAACUAAACACAGAUGUAACAACACACAGAUGUAACAAAAUCAUUCUUGGGAAUUACUGUGAAAUAUGAAGGAAAGAAGAGGUGACUGGGGAUGGUAUGAAAGGUGUUUACAAAAGGCGAAAAUGUAGAUUAUGCUAUAUACAGAUUUGUAAAGUUUCUCAUUCACAAAACUUUUAUAAUAUAUUAUUAAAAAGAUAGUUUAGGGGUUCCUGGGUGGCUCAAUCGGUUAAGUGUCCAACUUUGGCUCAGGUCAUGAUCUUGUGGUUCACGGGUUCGGGCCCCACAUUGGGCUCUGUGCUGACAGCCCAGAGCCUGGAGCCUCUUCAGAUUCUAUGUCUCCCUCUCUCUCUGCCCCUCCCCUGCUCGCAUUCUGUCUCUCUCAAAAAAAAAAGACAUUAAAAAAAAUGUUUUUAAUAAAAAGAUAGUUUGUUAGCAUUUAAAAAGUAAAAAUGUCAUACUUUUUUUUUGUAAUUUAAAGAAAAAGAGGUAAUUAGGAAGGCCCAGAAUAGGUUCGCUGGAAAUUUUAUGCCUAGCUUAUGCCAUCUAGGUGUCUAAAGUGAUGGCUUACUUUGCCAGCGAACUAAAUGGUUAUACCCUGUCAACAGUCAGGUGACUGUUCCCUUCACCUGUGCCCUGAGUGACCUAUAAAGAACAACAAACAUGCAUUGUGUGUCAACCACACUCAAACAAAAAAAGAUUCUCCCCCUCAAAAAAGAAGAAAAGAACAGCAAGCAUAACCCGGGGAAAAAUGGAACUCGAUUCAAAUCCUGUCUUUGACACUGCGUAGUGACCUUGGGCAUGUCACUUCAUCUUACUUUUCUUUCUCUAAAAUGAAGAGAUUACAUUUAUUAUUUCCUAACUUUGUUCCAAUGAAUUACAUUUUAAUUAAACCUGGUUGUGAUUACAUUAUAUAUAACUAUCUAUAUUUUAACUAUAACCUGGAGAAUUUGGAAGAUCUAGAGUUUGUUUGUGUAAGUAAGCAAAGUGUCUGCUGUCUUUCAUGAAAUCUUCAUGGAAGUGAUGAAGAAAUGUGGAUUCGAUUUCCACCUAGUUCCAAUCAGGCUGGCAAUUCCACACAACGUGUUCAUUGAUAAAUCAAAUAAAAUCAUUCUACUGGGGAAAAAAAACAAUUUCUGAAAUCAGUAAAAGGAAAUUUAAUAAAUUUGUCCUUGAACUCCUCUAUUUCUAACAGUUUGGAGGUUCCUCAAAAAGUUAAACAUAGGAUCUAGCAAUUCCACCCUAAAUAUAUACCCCCGAGAAAUCAAAGAUGUAUUCAUAUAAAAACUUACACAUGAGUGUUCGUAUCAGCACUAUGUAUAAUAAGCAGGAAGUGGAAAUGACCCAACUGAACAUCAGUUGAUGAAAGGAUAAAUGAAAUGUAGCACAUUUAUACAAUGGAAUAUUAUCCAGCUGUUAAAGGGAAUGAAGUACUGAUAUAUACUACAGUAUGGCUGAAUCUUAAAAACAUGAUCCUAAAUGAAAGAAGACAGACACAAAAGACCACAUAUUAUAUGGUUCUGCUUAUAUGAAAUGUCCAGAAUAGGCAAAUGAAUACAGACAGAAAAUACAUUGUUGGUUGGCAGGGUAAUUGGAAUGGGGCGAUGGGGAAUG